CACUCUGAACUCGAGUGCAUGAAGGCGGAAUCGCUAGUAAUCGCGGAUCAGCAUGCCGCGGUGAAUACGUUCCCGGGCCUUGUACACACCGCCCGUCACACCAUGGGAGUUGGCUUUACCCGAAGCCGGUGCGCUAACUCGCAAGAGAGGCAGCCGACCACGGUAGGGUCAGUGACUGGGGUGAAGUCGUAACAAGGUAGCCGUAGGGGAACCUGCGGCUGGAUCACCUCCUUU
rnacentral:ncRNA from 1 species